UCGAUUUUUCUCAAAAUUCCAAAUUUCAAGCCCUAGAUAUAAAAUUACUCCAAUUGAACGAACGGACGGCACACGCGCUUACCCAGUAUUGCAUUAUGUAAGGUGAUGAGAACGCACGAAACCCUCUUCUUUCUUCUUCUUCCUCUCUUCCUCUUCCUUUCUUUGAGCUCGAUCUCUCUGGUCUCCCUUUCUCUCUCUCCUCCUUUUGCUUUCUCUCUUUCCCUUUUAUCUUCUCCUUUUUCCCCUUUUUUCUUUUUCCUUUUCUCUUUUCUUUUAUCUCCUCCUUUUUCCCCCUUUUUCUUUUUCCUUUUUUUUUCUUUCUUUCCUUCUCUCUCUUCUUUUUCUUCUUCUCUCCCGAAGACUCUCAGUCUCUCUCCUUCUUCUUUCUCCUUUUUGUCUUUUGACUGGGUCAAAACCCAUAUUUUACAACAGUUUCACUUGUUUGUCCGUAGCAGGUGAAUCAAGAGAGUGCUUCUGCGUCUGGCCCUCCAAACUGUCAUGCGAGGAACCGGUCUCAAUACAGGAAUUAGAGGUAUUGCCCGAUUCCCCGAAAAGACAAACUGUUGCUCAGUAACUUGUUCUCUCUCUGGUUAUAUGGAAUUGAACUAGAAAAUAAUGCAUCCAUAGGAAAGAACAAGAGAUUGAAAGAUCGACUAUUUAGAUGGUUG
rnacentral:lncRNA from 1 species